UGGGGCUGCUGCUCUGCUUCAGGGCAGCAUGUGGUGGGAUGGCUGCCUUCACGGACAGAAAGACAACAGCCUGAGAACACUGAGAGCCACACAGCCACAAGGAAGGCCAAGCAGCAGGCCAGCUUAAAGCCCAAGGAGCAGACAGAGUGCUAUUGGGACACAAGGAUUGCCCUGGAGAAGAUAAACAUUGGUUUCAAGCAACUGCUGCUGUUCAAUAACCCAGAAUUUAGUUGGCAAAUCAUCCCUCUGUCAGACCAAGGCUGUUUGUGUCGCUGUUGACAAGAAGUAACACAAAACGAAGAGAGAAGCUCUCAUCAGGUACUACGAGUGGGAUUCGGGCUUUCACCCAAAGAGCUGCAAGCACACAGUGCUGACGUCUGGAGUUGAUAAUCCAUUCUAUGAUUUUCAUGAAUAUUCUUGAUAUCAUUGAUCAAUAGCUGAUUCUUUCUCAAAGUCCCAUACUUUUGGCCUGAGCAACACGUUACAUAAAGUGGCUCUCCAUUUAGCAGUAUAUUUUAAUGAAGAAGCACUCAUUUUCCUUCUCCUGACAUGGGAAUUUUUCAUCCUUUGUCUCCUACCAGCGCUCCACAAACCUCCCCCACCGUUCUGAGACCAAGCCUGCAGCCUGCAUACCAGAUUGAGUCACACAAUGUAUUUAUGUCAGUAUUUAUAACACUUCUCAUUUUCACCCCAUUUGUUACGCAUGUUCCACUUUGGAUUUUUCACUUUUUCUCAUAUGUUAAUUUACUGCAAGAUUUCCUACCCCUUCUGUAUCACAAAAAGGAACACCGGUUCAGAAGGAGCCUCCCAUGCUCCCCUCCCUCAUCGGGGUGCACUGUAGGGGACUUCCAUAGAUGACUACGAAUGCUUUGAUCACCAUAAUUAGCUGAUACUUAGAAUGAAAGUUUAGAUUUGCUGCUAGACAUGCUCGUAGACAUGCUUCAGCCUCUCUGGAUUAUCAUAUUGCAGUAGAAAUAUGUAUCUAAAACAUAUGGUUACAGCUACACAAUUUAAGAGUACGAACACAAACUUCACAAAAACUAACACAAAAGGCAACUGCUGUAAGGAACCAUAAUAAAGAUUAACAUAAAUUGCUCCCCCUCAGACACAAACAUGUUCUUAGGCCUCAAAAUGUCAAGGAGAAACAUAUGUUGCUGGUCUUUCUCAGAGCGGUUAUUCCCACCUUGUUCCAUCUCAGUCACUUAUUGUCAUAUCAUUCAGAAUAAAGCUCAACCUGGAGAGU
rnacentral:lncRNA from 7 species